CGGAUUGUAGUCUGCAACUCGACUACAUGAAGCUGGAAUCGCUAGUAAUCGCGGAUCAGAAUGCCGCGGUGAAUACGUUCCCGGGUCUUGUACACACCGCCCGUCACACCAUGGGAGUCAGUAACGCCCGAAGCCGGUGACCCAACCUAAUCAGGAGGGAGCCGUCGAAGGCGGGACGGAUGACUGGGGUGAAGUCGUAACAAGGUACC
rnacentral:rRNA from 1 species